AUUGAACGCUGGCGGCAUGCUUUACACAUGCAAGUCGAACGGUAACAGGUCAAGCUGACGAGUGGCGAACGGGUGAGUAAUGCAUCGGAACGUGCCCGGUCGUGGGGGAUAACGCAGCGAAAGCUGCGCUAGUACCGCAUACGAUCUGAGGAUGAAAGCGGGGGACCGUAAGGCCUCGCGCGAUCGGAGCGGCCGAUGUCAGAUUAGGUAGUUGGUGGGGUAAAGGCCUACCAAGCCGACGAUCUGUAGCUGGUCUGAGAGGACGACCAGCCACACUGGGACUGAGACACGGCCCAGACUCCUACGGGAGGCAGCAGUGGGGAAUUUUGGACAAUGGGCGCAAGCCUGAUCCAGCAAUGCCGCGUGCAGGAAGAAGGCCUUCGGGUUGUAAACUGCUUUUGUACGGAGCGAAAAGGCUCUCUCUAAUACAGGGGGCUCAUGACGGUACCGUAAGAAUAAGCACCGGCUAACUACGUGCCAGCCGCCGCCGUAA
rnacentral:rRNA from 1 species